rnacentral:rRNA from 1 species
GACGAACGCUGGCGGCGUGCUUAACACAUGCAAGUCGAACGGAAAGGCCCUGCUUUUGUGGGGUGCUCGAGUGGCGAACGGGUGAGUAACACGUGAGUAACCUGCCCUUGACUUUGGGAUAACUUCAGGAAACUGGGGCUAAUACCGGAUAGGAGCUCCUGCUGCAUGGUGGGGGUUGGAAAGUUUCGGCGGUUGGGGAUGGACUCGCGGCUUAUCAGCUUGUUGGUGGGGUAGUGGCUUACCAAGGCUUUGACGGGUAGCCGGCCUGAGAGGGUGACCGGCCACAUUGGGGCUGAGAUACGGCCCAGACUCCUACGGGAGGCAGCAGUGGGGAAUAUUGCACAAUGGGCGGAAGCCUGAUUCAGCAACGCCGCGUGCGGGAUGACGGCCUUCGGGUUGUAAACCGCUUUCGCCUGUGACGAAGCGUGAGUGACGGUAAUGGGUAAAGAAGCACCGGCUAACUACGUG